rnacentral:rRNA from 1 species
CCUACGGGCGGCAGCAGUGAGGAAUAUUGGUCAAUGGGCGGGAGCCUGAACCAGCCAAGCCGCGUGAGGGAAGAAGGUACAGCGUAUCGUAAACCUCUUUUGUCAGGGAACAAAGGCGAGGACGAGUCCCCGGGUGAGAGUACCUGAAGAAAAAGCAUCGGCUAACUCCGUGCCAGCAGCCGCGGUAAUACGGAGGAUGCGAGCGUUAUCCGGAUUUAUUGGGUUUAAAGGGUGCACAGGCGGCCUGUUAAGUCAGCGGUAAAAGCGCGGGGCUCAACCCCGGCGCGCCGUUGAAACUGGGGGGCUGGAGUGGGCGAGAAGUAGGCGGAAUGCGUGGUGUAGCGGUGAAAUGCAUAGAUAUCGCGCAGAACCCCGAUCGCGAAGGCAGCGUACCGGCGCCAAACUGACGCUGAGGCACGAAAGCGUGGGUAUCGAACAGGAUUAGAUACCCGAGUAGUC